AUUGAACGCUGGCGGCAGGCCUAACACAUGCAAGUCGAGCGGAUGAGGAAAGCUUGCUUUUCGAUUCAGCGGCGGACGGGUGAGUAAUGCCUAGGAAUCUGCCUGUUAGUGGGGGAUAACUCGGGGAAACUCGGGCUAAUACCGCAUACGUCCUACGGGAGAAAGUGGGGGAUCUUCGGACCUCACGCUAACAGAUGAGCCUAGGUCGGAUUAGCUAGUAGGUGAGGUAAUGGCUCACCUAGGCGACGAUCCGUAACUGGUCUGAGAGGAUGAUCAGUCACACUGGAACUAAGACACGGUCCAGACUCCUACGGGAGGCAGCAGUGGGGAAUAUUGGACAAUGGGCGAAAGCCUGAUCCAGCCAUGCCGCGUGUGUGAAGAAGGUCUUCGGAUUGUAAAGCACUUUAAGUUGGGAGGAAGGGUAUUCACCUAAUACGUGGGUACUUUGACGUUACCAACAGAAUAAGCACCGGCUAACUCUGUGCCAGCCGCCGCUGUAAAAC
rnacentral:rRNA from 1 species